rfam:Oryza nivara chromosome 10, whole genome shotgun sequence.
CAAAAGGCAAACUAUAGGUUGCCAUGCCAACGUUUGACUGUUCAUCUUAUAUAAAAUUUUUUUAUAAUUAGUAUUUUUAUUGUUGUUAGAUGAUAAAACAUGAUUAAUACUUUAUGCGUGACUUAUCUUUUUAAUUUUUUUUAUAAUGUUUUUAAAUAAGAUGGACGGUCAAAUGUUAGACACGAAAAUUAGGGUUUGCCUUUUUU